rnacentral:rRNA from 1 species
UGUUUGCCAGCACGUAAUGGUGGGAACUCCAGGGAGACUGCCGGUGAUAAACCGGAGGAAGGUGGGGACGACGUCAA